UUCUACCUUCAUGGUCUUCGCAUUGAUGCGAGGGUGCAGGCUGGCUACCUGUCAUGAGAUGGUGUACCUGUCGUGACGUAACGUGCCUGUGGUGAUGAGGUGGUGAUGUGAAGCGUCAGUGCUACCUGCUUUGGGAUACGAUCUCGAAUGUCUUCAGGAAAGGAUUAAACCGUGUGCAAGAAUC